rnacentral:rRNA from 1 species
AACGAACGCUGGCGGCAGGCUUAACAUAUGCAAGUCGAACGCCCCGCAAGGGGAGUGGCAGACGGGUGAGUAACGCGUGGGAAUCUACCCUGAUCUGCGGGAUAGCUCCGGGAAACUGGAAUUAAUACCGCAUAUGUCCUGAGGGACAAAGAUUGAUCGGUUCAGGAUGAGCCCGCGUCCGAUUAGCUAGUUGGUGGGGUAAAGGCCUACCAAGGCGACGAUCGGUAGCUGGUCUAAGAGGAUGAUCGGCCACAUUGGGACUGAGACACGGCCCAAACUCCUACGGGAGGCAGCAGUGGGGAAUAUUGGACAAUGGGCGCAAGCCUGAACCAGCCAUGCCGCGUGAGUGAUGAAGGUCUUAGGAUUGUAAAGCUCUUUCACCGGGGACGAUAAUGACGGUACCCGGAGAAGAAGCCCCGGCUAACUUCGUGCCAGCAGCCGCCGUAA